rnacentral:rRNA from 1 species
GAUGAACGCUAGCUACAGGCUUAACACAUGCAAGUCGAGGGGAAACGAUGAGAGAGCUUGCUCUCUUAGGCGUCGACCGGCGCACGGGUGAGUAACGCGUAUCCAACCUACCCAUUACAGGGGGAUAACCUUGCGAAAGUAAGACUAAUACCCCAUGGCAUUUUAUGGUGGCAUCAUUAUAGGAUUAAAGAUUUAUUGGUAAUGGAUGGGGAUGCGUCUGAUUAGCUUGUUGGCGGGGUAACGGCCCACCAAGGCAACGAUCAGUAGGGGUUCUGAGAGGAAGGUCCCCCACAUUGGAACUGAGACACGGUCCAAACUCCUACGGGAGGCAGCAGUGAGGAAUAUUGGUCAAUGGGCGAGAGCUUGAACCAGCCAAGUAGCGUGCAGGAUGACGGCCCUAUGGGUUGUAAACUGCUUUUAUAGGGGAAUAAAGUGAGCUACGUGUAGUUUAUUGCAUGUACCCUAUGAAUAAGAACCGGCUAAUUCCGUG